rnacentral:rRNA from 1 species
GACGAACGCUGGCGGCGUGCUUAACACAUGCAAGUCGAACGAGACGAUUGAAAGCUUGCUUUCGAAAGUCGAGUGGCAAACGGGUGAGUAACGCGUAGACAACCUGCCUUUGAGAUGGGGACAACAGUUCGAAAGGACUGCUAAUACCGAAUGUUGUAUAUUUUCCACUUGGAAGAUAUAUUAAAGAUGGCCUCUAUUUAUAAGCUAUCGCUCAAAGAUGGGUCUGCGUCUGAUUAGCUAGUUGGUGGGGUAACGGCCUACCAAGGCGACGAUCAGGAGCCGGUCUGAGAGGAUGAACGGCCACAUUGGGACUGAGACACGGCCCAGACUCCUACGGGAGGCAGCAGUGGGGAAUCGUCCACAAUGGACGAAAGUCUGAUGGAGCAACGCCGCGUGAGUGAAGAAGGGUUUCGGCUCGUAAAGCUCUGUUGUCGGGGACGAAUGUGCAGUAUUUGAAUAAAGUACUGUAAUGACGGUACCUGACGAGGAAGCCACGGCUAACUACGUGCCAGCCGCCGCGGUAA